UACGUAGGGUGCAAGCGUUGUCCGGAAUUAUUGGGCGUAAAGAGCUCGUAGGCGGUCUGUCACGUCGGGAGUGAAAACUCAGGGCUUAACCCUGAGCCUGCUUCCGAUACGGGCAGACUAGAGGUAUGCAGGGGAGAAUGGAAUUCCCGGUGUAGCGGUGAAAUGCGCAGAUAUCGGGAGGAACACCGGUGGCGAAGGCGGUUCUCUGGGCCUUACCUGACGCUGAGGAGCGAAAGCGUGGGGAGCGAACAGG
rnacentral:rRNA from 1 species